rnacentral:rRNA from 1 species
ACUCAAAUGAAUAGACGGGGGCCCGCACAAGCGGUGGAGUAUGUGGUUUAAUUCGACGCAACGCGAAGAACCUUACCAGUCCUUGACAUGUCUCGUAUGGGUCUGAGAGAUCAGAUCCUUCGGUUCGGCCGGCGAGAACACAGGUGCUGCAUGGCUGUCGUCAGCUCGUGUCGUGAGAUGUUGGGUUAAGUCCCGCAACGAGCGCAACCCUCAUCUUUAGUUGCCCCCGGGUCAGGCCGGGCACUCUAAAGAAACCGCCGGUGACAAGCCGGAGGAAGGCGGGGAUGACGUCAAGUCCUCAUGGCCCUUACGGACUGGGCUACACACGUACUACAAUGGUGGUGACAGUGGGCAGCGAAGGCGCAAGCUGGAGCCAAUCCCCAAAAGCCAUCUCAGUUCAGAUUGUACCCUGCAACUCGGGUGCAUGAAGUUGGAAUCGCUAGUAAUCGCAGAUCAGCACGCUGCGGUGAAUACGUUCCCGGGCCUUGCACACACCGCCCGU